GACGAACGCUGGCGGCGUGCUUAACACAUGCAAGUCGAACGGAAAGGCCCUGCUUUUGUGGGGUGCUCGAGUGGCGAACGGGUGAGUAACACGUGAGUAACCUGCCCUUGACUUUGGGAUAACUUCAGGAAACUGGGGCUAAUACCGGAUAGGAGCUCCUGCUGCAUGGUGGGGGUUGGAAAGUUUCGGCGGUUGGGGAUGGACUCGCGGCUUAUCAGCUUGUUGGAGGGGUAGUGGCUUACCAAGGCUUUGACGGGUAGCCGGCCUGCGAGGGUGACCGGCCACAUUGGGACUGAGAUACGGCCCAGCCUCCUACGGGAGGCAGCAGAGGGGAAUAGUGCACAAUGGGCGGAAGCCUGAUGCAGCACCGCCGCGUGCGGGAUGACGGCCUUCGGGUUGUAUACCGCUUUCGCCUGUGACGAAGCGUGAGUGACGGUAAUGGGUAAAGAAGCACCGGCUAACUACGUG
rnacentral:rRNA from 1 species